rnacentral:rRNA from 1 species
UACAGAGGUCUCAAGCGUUGUUCGGAAUCACUGGGCGUAAAGGGUGCGUAGGUGGCGUGGUAAGUAAGAUGUGAAAGCCCGGGGCUCAACCUCGGAAUUGCAUCCGAUACUACCAUGCUAGAGUACUGAAGAGGUGACUAGAAUUCUCGGUGUAGCAGUGAAAUGCGUAGAUAUCGAGAGGAAUACCAAAGGCGAAGGCAGGUCACUGGGCAGUUACUGACACUGAGGCACGAAGGCUAGGGGAGCAAACGGG